rnacentral:rRNA from 1 species
GACGAACCGUGCGAACGUUGUUCGGAUUCACUGGGCUUAAAGGGCGCGUAGGCGGGUGAUCAAGUCCGGGGUGAAAUCCUCCAGCUUAACUGGAGAAUAGCCUUGGAUACUGGUCGUCUUGAGGGAGGUAGGGGCAUGUGGAACUUCCGGUGGAGCGGUGAAAUGCGUAGAUAUCGGAAGGAACGCCGGUGGCGAAAGCGACGUGCCGGACCUCUUCUGACGCUGAGGCGCGAAAGCCAGGGGAGCAAACGGG